AUACUUAACUGGCAGGGGAGAUAGCAUGAUCACGAAGGUGGUUUUCCCAGGGCAAGGCUUAUCCAUUGCACUCCAGAUGUGCUGACCCCUGUGAUUUCCCCAAAUGUGGGAAACUCGACUGCAUAAUUUGUGGAAGUGGGGGACUGCAUUCACGCUCUCUCCUA
rnacentral:snRNA from 1 species